rnacentral:rRNA from 1 species
AUGGACGUGGCCUCGCUGCUGCUCCCCUUGGUCCUGGCGCUGGUGGCGAUCCCGAUCUCGCUCGCACUACUCGACUGGCUGCGCCUUCCGCCAGGCCCGUGUCCGUGGCCGGUGGUGGGCAACCUGCGCCAGAUCAAGCCCGUGCGGUGCCGCUGUUUCCAGGAGUGGGCGGAGCGGUACGGGCCUAUCUUCUCCGUGUGGUUCGGCUCCUCCCUCACCGUCGUCGUCUCCACGCCGGAGCUGGCCAAGGAGGUGCUCAAGGAGCACGACCAGCAGCUCGCCAACUGCACCCGGAACCGCUCCACCCAGCGCUUCAGCCGCAACGGCCAGGACCUCGUCUGGGCCGACUACGGCCCGCACUACAUCAAGGUGCGCAAGCUGUGCAAUCUCGAGCUCUUCACGCAGAAGCGACUCGAGGCGCUCCGCCCCAUCCGGGAGGACGAGGUCACUGCCAUGGUCUCGUCCGUCCACCGCGCCGCCACCGGCCCCGGUAAUGAAGGAAAGCCACUGGUUGUGAGGAGUCACCUUGCCAUGGUGUCUUUCAACAAUAUAACAAGGCUAGUUUUUGGGAAGCGGUUUAUGAAUGCAAAUGGUGACAUUAACGAAGAAGGGCAGGAGUUCAAGAGUAUUGUCAACAACGGUAUCAAAAUUGGUGCAUCUCUCUCUAUUGUUGAAUAUGUUUGGUACUUGAGAUGGCUGUUUCCACUUAAUGAGGAGCUUUACAAGACCCACAAUGAGAGAAGGGAUCAGCUGACCAAGAAGAUCAUAGAAGAGCAUGAGGUAGCAAGCAUCAUUUCGUGGAUGCACUGUUGA